AUGAGAAGUCAGAGGCCCCAGUUUCAGCCAGAACCGAGAAGCGUAAGAGAACAAGCAGUCCAGACGCAAGGAACAACCGGGGCUUUCAUCCUUAACUGUCCACAGAGCACCCGUGAUUGUGCAGGAGCAGAUAAAGCAGGCCGCCUCUCCCCUUCCUUCCAGACUGUACAAAGGACUGAUCUGAAAUUCAUCUGCAGCUUGCCCAAGGCCGGCAGCAGACCGUCCACUGCUGAGCGCUGUGCUAAGUGUACUAGAGCUGUGCACACGGCAAACCAUCCAAGAGCAGCAGCAGCAACACUGGAGCACAGGCGACAGACCAGUGAGGCGACGGGAGAGGACGGCAGAGGUGCCACCACUUUCAGCGCCCGCCUAACCCGGCUCACAGUCACAAGUUCUAUUGUCCUUCUUCCUAACGAGUUCCCAGAGUAAAAUCUGGUCCUGGAAAUCUGGAAAGAGUAACCACAGGGCAGUUGAGCCUGUGGCUGAAGCAGCCUUCGUUUGUUUUUGCCGCUCUGGGUCUGUUAUCUCAGCCGUAAAGCUGCCUCCAAUGGAGGACGGCUAACCGCUCUCUAGCUGGAGCACUCAAAUAAACCAUUGUUCUUGCUUUCUUUUCA
rnacentral:lncRNA from 1 species